rnacentral:sRNA from 1 species
GCUAGGCAUGGUGGUGCAUGCCUGUAAUCCCAGCUACUUGGGAGGCUGAGGCAGAAGAAUUGCUUGAACCCGGGAAGCAGAGGUUGCAGUGAGCCGAGAUUGCGCCACUGCACUCCAGCCUGGGUGACAGAGUGAGACUCUGCCUCAA